rnacentral:rRNA from 1 species
CGCCACAGCCAUGUCACCCUGCAGCCCACUGAAGCUAAGCAGAAUUGAGCCUGGCCAAUACCUGGAUGGGAGACCUUUUGGGAAAACUAGGUUGCUGUUGGAA